rnacentral:rRNA from 1 species
UACGGGGGGAGCAAGCGUUGUUCGGAUUUACUGGGCGUAAAGGGCGCGUAGGCGGCGCAACAAGUCACUUGUGAAAUCUCCGGGCUUAACUCGGAGCGGCCAAGUGAUACUGUCGUGCUAGAGUGCGGAAGGGGCUACUGGAAUUCUCGGUGUAGCGGUGAAAUGCGUAGAUAUCGUAAGGAAGACCAGUGGCGAAGGCGGGUCUCUGGACAGAUCCUGACGCUGAGGCACGAAGGUCAGGGGAGCAAACGGG